CUUGCUUCAAUCCACUUCCAAAUUUCAUCAUCCAUUAGAGGGCUUUGAUCCUAGCUUGGAAGAGGGGGCUGUUCAUCGGUUUUCUUGGAGGAAUUUCGGUCAAGAUUUCUGCCCUAAAGCUGUCCAACUAAGUUCUUGAGGAUCUCAAGAGGACUUCGAGGGAACUCCCGGCGAAGCGUCUUAGAGCUAAUUUCUCAAACUUUGACUUUUGAUACUUGGUUUGGAAGUGGAAGUU